UACGUAGGUGGCAAGCGUUUGUCCGGAUUUACUGGGCGUAAAGAGCGCGCAGGCGGUCGUUUCAAGUCGCGUGUGAAAGCCCCCCGGCUCAACUGGGGAGGGUCACGCGAUACUGAUCGACUCGAAGGCAGGAGAGGGUAGUGGAAUUCCUGGUGUAGCGGUGAAAUGCGCAGAUAUCAGGAGGAACACCGGUGGUGAAGGCGGGUC
rnacentral:rRNA from 1 species